rnacentral:misc_RNA from 1 species
AUAUAAAAUUAAACAGAUUUCGUAUUUCUUAUUUAAUAGGAAAAGUGACAUAACCUUAUUUUUAUGUUGGCUGGCUUAGUGGAAUUGGAAAUUCCACCUCCUUUAAAUAAAAUAUGGAAGAGGAGAGGGAGCUCCUCUCACUGCGUUUGCUUCGUUGGGUUUCAUGGAACGCAGUCCAAAUAUUCGAUAAAAUGUCACAAUGAGUAGGGAUUCUGCUGUAGGGUUUAAUGGACCUCGUCCAUUCUCUUCCUCCGUUGUUUUUGGCUUGCAAGCUCAUUUUCCUCCAUGUUAGUGCAUUUGGUUCAAUGGGCACGUUUCUUCAGUCUGCAAUGUUCAAAAGUAGGCUACUAUUGUCAAUGUUCGUUGGUGAAGAAGACAAGAAAUAUAGUUAAAAAAAAAUCUCAGUUUACUUGUCAAAAGUCUUAGCUCCUUGUGGACUUUUCUAGCUUAAAAAUAUAACCACAUCCCACAUAAGUUUCAUUUCAAUGAUGAUUACAGAACCAGUAUGGAUUUUCGAAAGUUGUUCCUGCAUUCUUCUCUUCUAGUCCUCCAUUUCGCAUUUUCUUCUUCCAAAGACACCAUAACUAUAAACCAAACCAUUCAUGAUGGUGACUUUCUGAUCUCUAGAGAAAAUAAUUUUGCAUUAGGAUUCUUUAGCCCCGGAAGUUCCAGUUUUAGAUAUCUUGGAAUCUGGUACCAUAAAGUCCGAGAGCAAACUGUGGUGUGGGUAGCCAAUAGGGAUGAUCCAAUCUAUGGUUCGUCGGGAGUUCUAUCAAUUGACCUAUAUGGAAAUCUCGUUCUCCAUGGCUACCAUAACCAGAAAGCUCCUGUGUGGACUACAAAUGUCUCAGUGGAGGUUACAGAUUAUUGUGUAGCUCAGCUCUUGGAUACAGGAAAUUUGGUUUUGUUCCACGAUAGAAGUAAAAGUACUGUGUGGGAAAGCUUUGACCAUCCUACGGAUACUAUGCUGCCAGGAAUGAAACUUGGGUUGAACCGAAGGACAGGCAUGGGCCGGUUCCCGGUAUCUUGGAGAUCAGCAGAUGACCCUGGAACUGGAAACUUCUCACUUCAGAUCAACCCAAAAGGAUCACCACAGGUCUUUAUCUACUGGGGUAUAAAAUAUAUUUGGCGAGGCUUUCCUUGGCCCUUGAAAAGUUAUACAGAUAUAUCCAAUGUUAGUUUUGUCAACAAUCAAAAUGAGACAUAUAUGACCUACUCUGUUUCUGAUGCUUCUGUUAUCCUAAGGGUAAUGUUGGACUAUUCAGGACUAGUUAAGAAUCUAAUUUGGCAUGAAAAAGAUGGCAAAUGGAAUGAAUUCCGGUCGACGCCAAAAUCUCCAUGUGAUCCAUAUGGGCAUUGUGGUACCUAUGGAAUAUGUGAUCCUGAAUUUCUUAGUCGAAGAUUUGAAUGUGAUUGUUUACCUGGGUACGAACCCAAGUUUCUAAGGGACUGGAAUAUUCUGAUGGAUGCUUCUAGUGGAUGUGUUAGGAAGCGGAAAGAAUCAUCUCCAAUGUGCAAGCAUGGAGAAGGGUUUGUGGAAGUAGCAAGUGUUAAGAUUCCUGAUACUUCAGCUGCAGUUUGGUUGGGCUUGAACAUGAGUCCUAUGAACUGUGAACUGGAAUGCAGGAGGAAUUGUUCAUGCUCUGC